CCUACGGGUGGCAGCAGUGAGGAAUAUUGGUCAAUGGGCGAGAGCCUGAACCAGCCCAGUCGCGUGAAGGAUGACGGCCCUACGGGUUGUAAACUUCUUUUGUCAGGGAGCAAUUGGGUCCACGCGUGGGCUUAGCGAGAGUACCUGAAGAAAAAGCCUCGGCUAACUCCGUGCCAGCAGCCGCGGUCAUACGGAGGAUGCGAGCGUGAUCCGGAUUUAUUGGGUUUAAAGGGUGCGUAGGCGGAAUAUCAAGUCAGCGGUAAAAAUUCGGGGCGAAACCCCGGCGGGCCGUUGACACUGGUGUUCUGGAGUGGGCGAGAAGUAUGCGGAAUGCGUGGUGUAGCGGUGAAAUGCAUAGAUAUCACGCAGAACUCCGAUUGCGAAGGCAGCAUACCGGCGCCCAACUGACGCUGAAGCACGAAAGCGUGGGUAUCGAACAGGAUUAGAUACCCUUGUAGUC
rnacentral:rRNA from 1 species